UCGGCCUCGUUGUGUAGUGAUUUACAGGGCUGAAGUACCAGCCACCUUGCCAAAAGCCUUUGUUGAGCCUGACACUGGAACUGUCCCUGUAGCACCCAGACGUUAUAUCCAGGGCUGCUCUCUGCUGCCUCUUGACAUCUUCCCUCCAAUUUGGAAGAUUCCUUUAACUUUGACGCAAGGACUCCUCAGUACAUGAUUCUUCUCUGAAGAAAAGUUUCUGCAAUUUGUCUACUUCAGAGGGCAGAAGAAGGACUCCUGAAGCCACCAAAGGAAGGAAAUCAUUACAGGGUUCUACUGAAGUAGGUCAUGUGCUACAGCUGCUCAUAGUUUAAGAGGAAGAAACAUGGGACCUCAAACAUGGAACAUGACUCUUUCAAAAUGCUUGAGAGCAGCCCAAGAAAAACAUCCUCAGAGGCUUAUUUAAUAAACAUUAUCUAUAAUA